CGCCCCGUCGCCCAUUCUCCCUGCCGUGCGUCGGCCGCCACAGUCAGCCUCGCGGCUCAACCACCUAAACGGCUCAUGAUGGAUUCAUUGUUAGAGUUGAGUUAGCGAAAUUCGACCGGUUAUUUAUCGUGCGCUUUCAAACUCUUACCAAAGGUUUUGUUGUUGGCACGAAGAUGAAGUCGGGAGUUUGACACUGUUCAAAAUUAUCUGAAACUCUGCAGAAAAGUGCAAAAGAUGCACCGUUGCAGCGCUUUGAACCCAUCACUAGAUAGUUUUGCGCCAAAACCCUCGUGCAUUUCUCCCUCUUCAAAUGGUCCACUAACUCAAAAUGAUAGAUGGCCGAAAUUCUUGUUUCUUCGGCGAUUUGCUUCUACAGAUGCGCGGUUCCAGUAUGCUAGACGCGCCAGAAGACUCAGAAUUAAUGGUUCGUCAAACUCCAGCUCGAAACCGGUACAAGGAGAAACCGACUCCUCCCAACAGCUAUUCGAGAGUUUGAAGGAAGUUGAGAGAGAACGUAUGAACAAAUUGGAAGAAUUUGAAAGGAAGGCGAAUGUUCAAUUGGAGAGGCAGCUCAUGAUGGCAUCAGAGUGGAGCAGGGCACUUUUGACGAUGAAGGGAAAACUGAAAGGAACAGAGUGGGACCCUGUGAAUUCUCAUUCCAUAGACUUCAGUGACUUUAAGAGACUUCUUGAUUCAAACAAUGUCCGGUUCAUGGAGUACUCUAAUUAUGGGCAGACAGUCUCAGUGAUUCUACCUUAUAAAAAGGAAGGGAAAACUGAAAGUUCAGAAGGGGACAGCAAAAAGGAAAUUGUUUUCCGGCGCCAUGUUGUUGAACGUAUGCCAAUCGACUGCUGGAAUGAUGUUUGGAGAAAGUUGCAUCAGCAGCUUGUUAAUGUUGAUGUCCUGGAUGUGAACAACGUUCCUGCAGAAGUCUAUUCAAGUGUUGCCACUGCAGUUGUGUGGGCAAUGAGGCUAGCUCUUGCUGUUGGUCUGUAUGUCUGGAUAGACAGUAUGAUGAGACCAAUAUAUGCAAAGUUAAUACCUUGUGAUCUUGGUUCUCCUCCUAAAAAAAUAACAUUGCAGCCACUCAAGCGGGAGGCCCUUGGCUCAUUGGGGAAGAGUCGGGCAAAAUUCAUAUCAGCCGAAGAAAAAACUGGUGUUACAUUUGAUGACUUUGCCGGCCAAGAAUAUAUCAAGAGAGAGCUGCAAGAGAUAGUAAGGAUACUGAAAAAUGACGAGGAAUUCCAAGACAAAGGUAUCUAUUGUCCAAAAGGUGUGCUCCUUCAUGGCCCUCCUGGUACUGGUAAAACACUUCUUGCAAAAGCUAUAGCUGGUGAGGCAGGCCUUCCAUUUUUUGCAGCUAAUGGUACAGAUUUCGUUGAGAUGUUUGUUGGUGUGGCCGCUUCUCGUGUGAAAGAUCUUUUUGCUAGUGCGAGAUCGUUUGCCCCUUCCAUAAUUUUCAUUGAUGAGAUAGAUGCAAUUGGCAGCAAACGUGGAGGACCUGAUAUUGGAGGGGGUGGUGCCGAAAGGGAACAAGGACUGCUUCAAAUACUGACAGAAAUGGAUGGUUUUAAAGAAUCAACAUCACAGGUGUUAAUCAUUGGUGCAACAAAUAGACUGGACAUUCUUGAUCCUGCUCUUCUGCGAAAAGGGCGGUUUGACAAGAUAAUUCGUGUUGGAUUACCAUCAAAAGAUGGUAGAUUUGCCAUAUUGAGGGUACAUGCUCGAAAUAAGUAUUUUCGUUCAGAGGAAGAGAAGGAGACUCUACUUCAGGAAAUUGCAGAUCUGACAGAAGAUUUUACUGGAGCUGAAUUGCAAAAUAUACUGAAUGAAGCUGGGAUUUUGACUGCUAGAAAGGACUUGGACUACAUCGGACGGGAGGAACUGCUUGAGGCCUUGAAGCGGCAACAAGGCACUUUUGAGACGGGUCAGGAAGACAGUACCGAAGUCCCUGAGGAGCUAAAAUUGAGAUUGGCAUAUCGAGAGGCAGCUGUUGCUGUUCUUGCAUGUUACAUUCCAGAUCCAUAUCGUCCCUUUGUUAAUACAGAUAUUAAUUCCAUACAGAGUCAGCCAAAUAUGCGCUACGAAGAGACAUCGGGCAGGGUAUUUCAGCGAAAGGCAGAUUAUGUGGACUCUAUAGUACGCGCAUGUGCUCCCAGAGUAAUUGAAGAAGAGGUAUUUGGAAUUGAUAAUUUAUGCUGGAUUUCGGCAAAAGCCACAUUAGAAGCUUCCAGACGUGCUGAGUUCUUGAUUUUGCAAACUGGAAUGACGGCUUUUGGGAAGGCCAUCUACAGAUAUCAAAAUGAUCUUGUGCCUAAUCUAGCUGCCAAACUCGAAGCACUUAGAGAAGAAUACAUCCGUUUUGCUGUUGAGAAAUGCUCAACUGCAUUAAGAGAACACCGUCCUGCUGUGGAAAAGAUAACAGAUGUCCUACUGGAGCAGGGAGAGAUAAAAGCAGAUGAAAUUUGGAAAAUUUACAAUGAUUCACCUCGAUUGCCUCAGCCUGCUGUGAGGCAACUGGAUGAAUAUGGAGCCCUUAUACACGCCGGACGUUGGGGAGUUCAUGGUGUGUCGCUUCCAGGGAGGGUAACUUUUGCCCCUGGGAAUGUGGGAUUCUCGACAUUUGGUGCACCUCGUCCGAUGGAGACUCAAAUCAUUAGUGAUGACACGUGGAAGUUAGUAGAUGCAAUUUGGGAUAAAAGGGUCGAGGAAAUAAAGAAUGAAGCCUCUAUAGAAGUUGAAGAAGAGAAAGAGAAGCCAGAGCUUUUGAUGGCCAGCCAUUUCCUAUAAGAUUGAAAUUCGUUUUUGUCAUUUUGAUGCCGGCAAAUACAAUCAUAUAACAUGUCUGCCAUGCUAGUUUUACCGUAGUUCGUAUACAGUCACAGUUGGGCAUCUAAUCAAGGAUUGUUCAAUCAGCUGGGUUACAACGUCAACUAACAGCAAUCAGGUGAUUUCUUUGGUGAAGAGUAUUCAGCUUACAGGCUAUAAUUUUUCGAGUUGUUUUAUAAGCUAAGGCGUUUUUUUUCUGGCAGAUGUGAAAUGAGAAAGCUCUUUGCUUAAAAUUAAAAAAUUGGGUGAUGGAGAAUUGUAUAUCUAGUGAGAGAUUUGAGUCAUAGAGGGAAAAAUGAGAAACUAUUAUUUAAAAAAAGAAAAUGGAUUCAUGUUUCCAAUCAAUGAACCUUGGAUGCACUGGAAAGAAGAAGUUUGAAGAAAUGGAGUCAUACGCUUUGCGAAGACGCAGUUUAUGGCUGCAUUUGCUUUUCAUGUCAUAUUUCCAAACAACUUCUUGUGGCAUAUAAUAUUAUCCAUAAUACACGAUCCGAAGUGUAUUUCAACA